GAGGGUAUAGCUCAGUGGUAGAGCACAUGGUUAGCAUGCACAAGGUCCUGGGUUCAAUCCCCAGUCCCUCCA
rnacentral:tRNA from 1 species